rnacentral:rRNA from 1 species
UACGUAGGGUGCAAGCGUUAAUCGGAAUUACUGGGCGUAAAGCGUGCGCAGGCGGUUAUGCAAGACAGAUGUGAAAUCCCCGGGCUCAACCUGGGAACUGCAUUUGUGACUGCAUAGCUAGAGUGCGGCAGAGGGAGAUGGAAUUCCGCGUGUAGCAGUGAAAUGCGUAGAGAUGCGGAGGAACACCGAUGGCGAAGGCAGCCCCCCUGGGCCAACACUGACGCUCAGGCACGAAAGCGUGGGGAGCAAACAGG